UGAGCCAGACUGCAUGUAAACAGUGCA
rnacentral:piRNA from 1 species